GACGAACGCUGGCGGCGCGCUUAACACAUGCAAGUCGAGCGAAGCGGCGGACUGGUGAGUAACACGUGAGUAACCUGACUUAGACAUAGGGAUAGCCUCGUGAAACCGGGAUUAAUCACAAAUGGUCUAAGAUGGCCUUGCGUCCCAUUAGCGAGUUGGUGAGGGAACGGCCCACCAAGGCGACGAUGGGUAGCCGGCCUGUGAGGGUGAACGGCCACAUUGGCACUGGGAAGCGGUCCAAACUCUACGGGAGGCAGCAGUGGGGAAUAUUGCACAAUGGAGGGAACUCUGAUGCAGCGACGCCGCGUGAACGAAGAAGGCUUUCGAGUCGUAAAGUUCUUUUAUAUGGGAAGCGGUACCAUAAGAAAAAUCCCCGGCUAACUACGUGCCAGCAGCCGCGGUAAUAC
rnacentral:rRNA from 1 species